rnacentral:rRNA from 1 species
GACGAACGCUGGCGGCGUGCUUAACACAUGCAAGUCGAACGGGCCCGCCCUCUUUUUUUGGGGUGGGUUGGGUGGCGAACGGGUGAGUAUCACGGUAGUAACCUGCCCCCUGCUCCUGGAUAACUGCUUGAAAGGGCGGCUAAUACGGGGUGUGCCGGCUGGUCCGCAUGGGCCUGGUCGGGGUAGGUUCCUUUUUGGGGGGUUUCGUGGGGGGUGGGCUCGCGGGCUGUCAAGUUGUUGGUGGGGUGGUGGCCCACCAAGGCGGUGACGGGUGGCCGGCCUGGGAGGGUGGGCGGCCACACGGGGACUGAGACACGGCCCAGACUCCUGCGGGAGGCAGCAGUGGGGGGUAUUGCACAAUGGGCGGAAGCCUGAUGCAGCGACGUCGCGUGAGGGAUGGAGGCCUUCGGGUUGUGAACCUCUUUCUCCGGUGGUGAAGGCCCUGUCCGUUGCGGCGGGGUUGACGGUAGCCGGGUAUGAAGCGCCGGCUAACUACGUG